rnacentral:rRNA from 1 species
GACGAACGCUGGCGGCGUGCUUAACACAUGCAAGUCGAGCGAUGAACCUUUCAUGAAUUUUUCGGAAUGAUUGGAAGAGGAUUAGCGGCGGACGGGUGAGUAACGCGUGAGCAACCUACCUUAAACAACGGGAUAGCCUCGGGAAACCGGGAUUAAUACCGUAUGAGACCCCGCCUUCACAUGAAGAAGAGGUUAAAGAUUUAUCGGUUUAAGAUGGGCUCGCGUCUGAUUAGCUAGUUGGUGAGAUAAAAGCCCACCAAGGCAACGAUCAGUAACCGGCUUGAGAGAGUGAACGGUCGCAUUGGAACUGAGACACGGUCCAAACUCCUACGGGAGGCAGCAGUGGGGAAUAUUGCACAAUGGGGGAAACCCUGAUGCAGCGACGCCGCGUGAGCGAUGAAGGAAUUCGUUUCGUAAAGCUCUGUCCAAGGGGAAGAUAAUGACAGUACCCUUGGAGGAAGCCCCGGCUAAAUACGUGCCAGCCGCCGCGGUAACAC